CUGCCCUCAAGCACGGCUUGUGUGUUGGGUGUGGUCCCCUCCCUGGCGGGGGGACCUGCCCGAAAGGCAGCGGCGACGUCGCGUCCGGUCCUCGAGCGUAUGGGGCUUUGUCACUCGCUCGGGAAGGACCUGCGCACGUCUGUCACAACUGUAUUUUUUACCACGG
rnacentral:misc_RNA from 1 species